AUUGAACGCUGGCGGCAGGCCUAACACAUGCAAGUCGAACGGUAACAGGAAGCAGCUUGCUACUUUGCUGACGAGUGGCGGACGGGUGAGUAAUGUCUGGGAAACUGCCCGAUGGAGGGGGAUAACUACUGGAAACGGUAGCUAAUACCGCAUAACGUCGCAAGACCAAAGAGGGGGACCUUAGGGCCUCUUGCCAUCGGAUGUGCCCAGAUGGGAUUAGCUAGUAGGUGGGGUAACGGCUCACCUAGGCGACGAUCCCUAGCUGGUCUGAGAGGAUGACCAGCCACACUGGAACUGAGACACGGUCCAGACUCCUACGGGAGGCAGCAGUGGGGAAUAUUGCACAAUGGGCGCAAGCCUGAUGCAGCCAUGCCGCGUGUAUGAAGAAGGCCUUCGGGUUGUAAAGUACUUUCAGCGGGGAGGAAGGGAGUAAAGUUAAUACCUUUGCUCAUUGACGUUACCCGCAGAAGAAGCACCGGCUAACUCCGUG
rnacentral:rRNA from 1 species